UACAGAGGUCUCGAGCGUUGUUCGGAUUCAUUGGGCGUAAAGGGUGCGUAGGUGGCGCUGUAAGUCGGGUGUGAAAUCCUGAGGCUUAACCUCGGAACUGCAUUCGAUACUGCGGCGCUUGAGGACUGGAGAGGAGACUGGAAUUCAUGGUGUAGCAGUGAAAUGCGUAGAGAUCAGGAGGAACACCCAUGGCGAAGGCAGCUCUCUGGUCGACCUCUGACGCUGAGACGCGAAAGCGUGGGGAGCGAACGGG
rnacentral:rRNA from 1 species